AAAGGAAUAGACGGGGGCCCGCACAAGCAGCGAGGCAUGUGGUUUAAUUCGAUGCUACACGAAGAACCUUACCUGGGCUUGACAUGUAGUGGAAAGCAGUAUGAAAGUACUGCCCUUGUUGUAGCAAUACAACAACCGCUAUGCAGGUGGUGCAUGGUUGUCGUCAGCUCGUGUCGUGAGAUGUAAGGUUAAGUCCUUAAACGAGCGCAACCCCUGCCACUAGUUGCCACCGGUUCGGCCGGGCACUCUAGUGGGACCGCUAGUGAUAAACUAGAGGAAGGUGGGGAUGACGUCAAAUCCUCACGCCCCUUAUGUCCAGGGCUACACACAUGCGACAAUGGUAGGGACAGCAGGAUGCGACGAGGUAACUCUGAGCCAAUCCUCAAACCCUGCCCCAGUACAGAUCGAGGGCUGCAACCCGCCCUCGUGAAGAUGGAGUUGCUAGUAAACGCAGGUCAGCUAUACUGCGUUGAAUACGUUCCCGGGCCUUGUACACACCGCCCGU
rnacentral:rRNA from 1 species